UCACGUGACGCGCCAGCAGCUGAAAGUGUUUACCUCUGACCCGAGUUGUGAGCUCCCGUAGCGCCCUCCAAGUGGCCUCCUGCGGGGGUCAUCAGUGUCCUCCUUGGGGCCCCGAGACGCCCUUGAGUAGCUAUGUCGGGUGCUGGGGCCGGGGAGCGGGAGGCCAGGAGCAGCCGCCGCCCCAGCCCCCUCAGAGCCACGGUGCCAGUCCAGGCUAUGCACCGCACCAGCCCUUUGCGCUUUAGGAACAGGAUUUCUCCAGAUACAGAAAUCACACCUGGCCUUGACCUGAGCACUGCCACCCCAACCAAAGGUCGGGCGCGGACAGGCCGCGGAAGCCAGGCUGGCGAGGGGAGCGCGCUGAUGCGACGCACGGCAUCAUUGGACACCAUCUACCUCAAGGGACAGUGGCCCAAGGACGACCAACCCUUCACACAGCUGCUUCAUGUAGACAAGGCCUCUCAGACCCCAGAAGAGUGGGCCUCAAGCUGUUACGGGGCACUGAGCUGGGCCCUCAGUGAAGAGCCUUACCAGAGUGGUAGCAAUAGUAGUAGUAACAACAGCAGCAACAACAGCAGCAGAAGACCAUCAGUGUCUGUGGUUCCCUCUCCGUGGCUGGGGGGUACCAGCCACCAGGCACCCUCUCCUUCAGGAGAACAGAUUGACAAGUUUAUCCGGCACCGGCUUCAACGAACCAACAAAGAAGGGACAAGUGGUAGUGGUCUCCGCUACAGUCCCGUACAUGCUGAUCACUCCGUCCUUGCUCCAACACCAGUUCACCUGAGACACCAUGCCCUCCAACAUGCAAAUGGUGGGUCCCGUGCCAUCUCCAUCCCACAGCUGCCCAAGCCACUGCUUCCUCCCCGACUGCGCAGCUCAGUGGAAGGUCUUAACCAAGAAAUUGAACGCCUCGUUUUGCGACCGCCCCACAUGCCUGGGGAUGACCUAGAUGAUGUGUGGAGUGAAGUCCCACGUGACGGCCGCAGAGCACCCAUUGCUGAGUACCUGAGGUUUACAAGGAGCGUCGACACUCAAACACCUGCCAGAGGGUCAGCAGUGUCCGCUGCCAGUUCUGACCACACAUCCCCCUCUCUAUCCCCACCCACCUCCCCUCCACACAGUCAGGAUGCUGCCAUGCCAUCCUCUACUCCAAGCCCAACUAGUACACAAACACUGGCUACUUCCCCUCACAUUAACAAGUUCCUGGCACGGGAGCCUCCAGAUGGCUGUGAGAGAGUGGCUCUCAAGCAUCAUGAAGACAGGUCAGGGGUAACAAAGACAGGAGUGUGGCCAGCUGUCAGGCCCCCGGGUGCUUUCACUCUACGGGCCAGUCAGGGAUCAGCCUUCUGUGCACCAGAGAGGAUAGCAACAGAAGAGGAGUGUGGAGCCACUGCCCUCCAACCAUGUCAGCAUCAAACUGAUUCUGUAAGUGUAUAUUGUCCUGUUUGUGCUGGUAGUCCUAGUGUGUGUCUGGAGGGAGAGAGUCCAGACCCAGAGAUGGUGCAAUAUGUGCCCGAGGCCUGCCAGACCUCCCCAUCCCACACAAUGACAUGUGACGUGGGUGUGUCCACAAUGGUGCCCGGUCCUGCCAGCACAAGCAUAGGGCCAGCCCCUGAACUCACUGCAGAUCAAUAGCGAAGGCCAUGUUUUAGCACAUUUUACAAUUAUUUUUGUCAUCUUGCAGUUAACAGUUAUCCUCAAAGUGGUUCAGACAUUGUGGUUCUUAAUAGCCAUUAUAGUGAUUCAUGAAUAUGCUUACUGAGUAUUAUUUGGUAUGUAUUAAUGUACACAAUGUAUUAACUUUCAAUGUGAUUCCGCAUUUCCAAGACAAUUUUGUACGUAUAUCCCAAUGUUGCAUAUUGUUCACUUAGAAGUGAAUAAGCUCCCUUACAUCUCAGGAUUUAAUGGAUAAGUAGCCAUUAUAAUGUAGAUCUAACUGACACAUUGUAGGGAACUGCUCAUGUACUUACUUUGGUCCUCUCGGUGGGGACCAGACGACCCUCCAGCUAGGGAAACACUCUGACUUACACUAGUGUAACAGGAGCUUUUGUGAUCAUCUUAAGACAUUUUGGGAAUCAGUUGCUGUUUUGAAAGGAAAAAAAAAUUUAUUUUACACCCAGUAAAUACCACUUUCAAUUAAUCAAAUAUGUAUGUAGCUAUUUAUGAAGUGUUGUAAUCAAAUUUCUAUGAUAGGACUAAUGAGCUUUAUAUUUUGAUAAGUUGAAUUGAUUUUUAUAGCAUCUGUUGUCCUUGAUUUAGGAUGUCAGUGAUGUGAUAAUUAUCUUUGUGUCAAUUAAUCCCAUAACUUGGAAAUGUGAGGUUAAUAUUUAAAAAGAAAAAUAAGUUUUUGUUGUGGUAAUUUUGUGUGAAGCUGCUUUUAGAUGCUGUUUUUUGGAUUUUGAUUGGCAUAUUACGUAUCUUUGUAUUGGCCUCAUUGAUCAUCUCAGCCACAUUACAACUCUAGGAUGUUUAUUUUAAUCAUCAUUCAUCCUUGUUGAAAUUGGCACUCCAGUCAUAUGUUUGAAGGGACUUCAACACCUUCAAAGUAGCUGCAUUACUAUACCUGCAACUUGGAAAUUAUUCAUCUGUGCAAUGAGGAAACAGCCUGAUAAUGAACCAUCAGAAACUGCAAGGAAAUCAGUCUGACAAUGGACCUUGCUCAGAGGAACCAGUCUGAUCAUGCAUUAUAAACACAAUCUACACUAUAAGAAGUUCCUUCUGGAAACCUGUGAUAGAUUUCUCGGAUAUCUGUGGAUUUAACAAGAUGUGGGUAUGGACUUCGAAUACUGGUGGUUGUGUGUGCCAACUGCUGUCUUGCUACUGUGGAGAGUGGCAUUAUUCAGCAAAUAUAAGUCAGUAAUGGUUGGAGCAUCCAAAAUGUGUACCUCUAUUUCACAAAACCCAUUUUUGCAAACUCAAAAGGUCACAGUGAACAAGAAUUCUAAGCCAGUGUUAUUUGUGCUUUUUGGCAUGGGUUAAACUUUUGAUAGUGGUGCAUAAUCAUAAACUUCAGUGAAUACCUUACACUGGUGAAGAAAAUGCAGUGUAACUAAAUUGAUUACUCUCAUGACUGACUAAGAUGCUGCUAGAGACUUGCCAUCAGUAGCCUGGGUGGGAACAGCACCAGUGGUACCCAGCACACUAGGCAAAAACUGAAAACAAAAGCAAGAAACCAGACUCCAGUGUGUGGUUGUUUGCUGGUCUGUGCCUGCCACACCAGCCUCCUGUUGAAGGACCUCGGGUGUGCCUCGGCAAAUCUCACUUCUCAUUAAAAGCUCAUUGAAAUAUCCAUCUACUGACCGACCCACAUGGAAGGAUGACCACCUGGAUAGGCUGUGUGCUGCCACCCUUGGCCCAAUUAAACUAAGUCCCACAGAUCCAUAGCCGAGCUCAUUCUUACAUCACAGAGGUGCAGAAUCACUGCUGAGCUUUGUCAGUAUUAUGUCAUCUCUAAUUACUUUGUAAUUUUUGGCAUAAACUUGCACCUUUUUGUUAUCUUAUUCUCUACUACAGUAUUAUCGGGAAAGCCAAUGGAAAAUAUUGUUGUCUAUCAAAAGAGUUUGUAGGAAUGGAAACCUUUCACCAAGUGAGGCAAUGGUGUAGCUAUAUUCCCUAUAUUGAUAUUAUUAGUCUAGCAAAUGUCAAAAUAGGGAAACUUAUGUUAAACAAUGGGCAAGUAUCCUCUCAGAAAUGCAUCCCAUGUUUUUGGACCAGUACAAAAAUAAAUUUAUAUAUCAAUUACUUACAUCUGUGCACUCCAGGAACAAGUCCUUAAAAGAAAAGAAUUCUUUAUAAUUCCUGUCUUCAUCUAAUCCAGCAUCCUCUUUGUGUAGUUUCAGACUUUAUUCAGGAUUGACAUUGAAGGUGUGGCAUAUCUUAAUGACAUGAAUGUGCAUUUGUUAGCAUGCAGUGACAUCUUUUAUUACUUUUAUGUCUGCCAUCAUUGUUUCAGUUUCCUGUUCACUAUUGGAAACACUGGCUAGUUCACACAUGUGCAAACACAUAAUCUGCCACAGACUAAAGACUAAAGAAUAAGUGUCAGAUAUAUCUCAAAAGUAUAAUUUUUCAAUGAUGUUUGGACCAUAAUUACUUUGAUUUGAUGAUUCUAUAAAACACACAUCUUGUUUAUAUCUGCUUAAGUUUGGAUAUCAUUGUUCAUGAUUUAAAUAUUACUUCUUCACAUGCAGCACGAUGAAAAGUGUUAUACAGAUAUCUGCUGCAUGCUGAGUACAUAAAGAUCAAUUAAAUAUUUCAUUUUUCUGAUAGAUAAUUAGAUAUACUAAAUGAAGAGUACUGACAUAUGCAAUGUGAAGUUAAAAUCAUGCAGCCAUGUAAGGUAACAGAUUUAGUGGACAUUAAAAUGUUUAUUUACUGAUUUAUGAACUGAACUUAAUUAUCUGACAGAAGUAAUGAAUUAUAAAACAUGUCAAGUGACUUCCCAUUAUUAAUAAAGUCACAGGUGAGUAUGUAAUGUUCUUGUCAAGAGGUAAACUUUAAUGUGUUCUGUUGAUACGGAUUGUGUUUGGAGUAACAACAUACAGAUUCAUAACAUUGCAUUAGAUGCUGAAAACAGACAUGAAGAUUUGUAGGCUUGACAGAAUGUUGCCAGGAACACUAUGUCCACUAUUUUGUGAUUGUUCACCUUCAUGUCUAAAUGUGACAAGCUAGGUAUGCAGCAUUCAAUACUGAGGGUGGCUGUCACCUCAAUUCUACCUUCCUAUACAAGUAGUCUGUGAUUACAUUCAGCCUACUACUCAAAACUUAAACCUGUCCAGCCAUAGAUGCUGUGUGAACAAAAUGGGUAAAAAUGCUUUCAUCCAGUGUCCACUCAUUCAUCACCCAAGGGAAAACCACAUCAGCUGACCCCAAAGUAUCUUUUGGUGGGGCACAAACCUCCGGACCAACUGUCUGCCACUUAUUGGAGUUCCUCAUAAAUGCAUUCAUGUGUACCAUGACACCAUACUGCUGUAUUCUAAUAUAUUUAUUAAUUUCUAA